rnacentral:rRNA from 1 species
CCUACGGGAGGCAGCAGUGGGGGAUAUUGCACAAUGGGGGGAACCCUGAUGCAGCGACGCCGCGUGGGUGAAGGAGCGUUUCGGCGCGUAAAGCUCUAUCGGCAGGGAAGAAGGCGGACGGUACCUGACUAAGAAGCCUCGGCUAACUACGUGCCAGCAGCCGCGGUAAUACGGAGGGGGCGAGCGUUAUCCGGAUUUACUGGGUGUAACGGGGGCGCAGACGGCUGCGCAAGCCAGCGGUGAAAGCCCGGGGCCCAACCCCGGGACUGCUCUUGGAACUGCGCGGCUUGAGUGCAGGUGGGGCAGGCGGAAUGCCUGGUGUAGCGGUGAAAUGCGUAGAUAUCAGGAGGAACACCGGUGGCGAAGGCGGCCUGCUGGACUGCGACUGACGUUGAGGCCCGAAAGCGUGGGGAGCAAACAGGAUUAGAUACCCGAGUAGUC